GGAGAGAAGAACCAGAAUAAGUGGGAAACUGAAGAAACUACAAGAUCUCGUUCCGAACAUGGAUAAGCAAACAAGUUAUGCAGACAUGCUGGAUUUCGCAGUGCAGCAUAUCAAAGGCCUUCAAAAUGAGGUGGAGAAACUCCACAAAGAAAUGGAAAAUUGUACCUGUGGAUGCGAAAAAUCAACCCCAUGAUUGUGUGAAAAAUGGGGGCCUGGAGCGAUGGGCAAUUCUUUGCUCUUCGUG